rnacentral:rRNA from 1 species
UACGGGGGGAGCAAGCGUUGUUCGGAUUUACUGGGCGUAAAGGGCGCGUAGGCGGCCAGCGCAAGUCAGUUGUGAAAUCUCCGGGCUUAACUCGGAAAGGUCAACUGAUACUGCGCGGCUAGAGUGCAGAAGGGGCAACUGGAAUUCUCGGUGUAGCGGUGAAAUGCGUAGAUAUCGAGAGGAACACCUGCGGCGAAGGCGGGUUGCUGGGCUGACACUGACGCUGAGGCGCGAAGGCCAGGGGAGCAAACGGG